CUGGUUUGCAGGGGGAGGAUGGUACCGAAGGAUCCAGUGGAAGUAAAGGACAUAAAGGUUAUCGAGGAAAACCGGGAAACACUGGUCCCGAAGGUCCUCCGGGUACUCCAGGAGAGAAUGGGAUGGACGGACACAGGG